rnacentral:rRNA from 1 species
UUCCAGACUCCUACGGGAGGCAGCAGUGAGGAAUAUUGGUCAAUGGGCUUACGCCUGAACCAGCCAAGUCACGUGAGGGAAGACUGCCCUAUGGGUUGUAAACCUCUUUUGUCAGGGAGCAAUUGGCGCUACGUGUAGCGUUAUCGAGAGUACCUGAAGAAAAAGCAUCGGCCAACUCCGUGCCAGCAGCCGCGGUAAUACGGAGGAUGCGAGCGUUAUCCGGAUUUAUUGGGUUUAAAGGGUGCGUAGGUGGUUAAUUAAGUCAGCGGUGAAAGUUUGUGGCUCAACCAUAAAAUUGCCGUUGAAACUGGUUGACUUGAGUAUAUUUGAGGUAGGCGGAAUGCGUGGUGUAGCGGUGAAAUGCAUAGAUAUAACGCAGAACUCCGAUUGCGAAGGCAGCUUACUAAACUAUAACUGACACUGAAGCACGAAAGCGUGGGGAUCAAACAGGAUUAGAUACCCUUGUAAGG